rnacentral:rRNA from 1 species
GACGAACCGAGCGAACGUUGUUCGGAAUCACUGGGCUUAAAGGGCGCGUAGGCGGGCUGCCAAGUUUGGGGUGAAAUCCUCCGGCUCAACCGGAGCAGUGCCUCGAAUACUGGCGGUCUCGAGGGAGGUAGGGGCGUGCGGAACUGUGGGUGGAGCGGUGAAAUGCGUUGAUAUCCAUAGGAACUCCGGUGGCGAAGGCGGCACGCUGGACCUUUUCUGACGCUGAGGCGCGAAAGCCAGGGGAGCGAACGGG